rnacentral:rRNA from 1 species
GACGAACGCUGGCGGCGUGCCUAAUACAUGCAAGUAGAACGCACAGUUUAUACCGUAGCUUGCUACACCAUAGACUGUGAGUUGCGAACGGGUGAGUAACGCGUAGGUAACCUACCUGGUAGCGUGGGAUAACUAUUGGAAACGAUAGCUAAUACCGCAUAAUAUUGAUUAUUGCAUGAUAAUUCAUUGAAAGGUGCAAUUGCACCACUACCAGCUGGUCCUGCGUUGUAUUAGCUAGUAGGUGAGGUAACGGCUCACCUAGGCGACGAUACAUAGCCGGCCUGGGAAGGAGAUCGGCCAAAACGGGAACGAGAAAAGGGCCAGAACUCCAAGGGGAGCAGGAGGAGGGGAUCAUUGGAAAUGGAGGGAAGUCUUAACGAAGAACGACGGGGGGGUGAAGAAGGGUUUCGGAUCGUAAAGGUCUGUUGUAAGGGAAGAAAGGGUGGGAGGGUAGAAAGUUCACGCUGUGACGGUAUCUUAACAGAAAGGAACGGCUAACUACGUG